ACAUUUGUUCAGCAUAUUUGGUGAUUCAUCAAUGACCUUACAAAUGGAGCUUAUCAUCAUUACAAUCAACAUUCAAAGUAUUUGCUACCUGUCUAAAUGUCUUUCUAUCUCUAAAUCUAUGCUCUUCAGAUUAGAUAUGUCUCUAUAUGGCUGACCAAAUAAUUUGCACUUUUAAAUUUGUUUUGAUUUGCUCAAAUUAGUUAAUAGACUGAACCAAUGCAGUUCCUACAUUGAGCAUUUUCCUCAGUGUUUCCCCUCCCCGCAAUGUAGGUUUGAUUGAAUUCUAGUAUUUGGGUCAGUCCCCCUGGACAGUGGUUGUCUUCAGUGCUCCAUGGGGGCUGGAACUCUGUAGACAAACAUUAACUUUGGGAUAGACACUCUAUAUUUAUCUUCUACUCCUUCCAUUUUUACUGCAUCUACCAUUUGAUCAACAUGAAAUCAUCUCUGACUCUGCUGUGUCUGGUGGUAUGGGUGAAUGUGGAUGCUUCAUCAGCUCAGACUGAGUACUGUGGUAAGCCUGAGGGUGAAGGGAGGAGAAUGCUGCCGAUUCCUGAUCGAGAACGUUAUGAAAAUGGGGACCAAGUGGAGUAUGGAUGUCUUGCAACUUGUAAGAACGGAGAGUGGGAUAAGACCAUCAAGGGCAAAGAUUACUGUAGUAAACCUGAGGGUGCAGACACCAGAAUGCUGCUGAUUCCUGACCGAGAGAGAUAUGAAAAUGGGGACAAAAUAGAUUAUGGAUGCCUUAGCGGCCCAAACACAGGCUCAAGAGGAAAAGCAACUUGCAAGAACGGAGAGUGGAGUAAGACAAUCGAGUGCCAAGGUAAGUCUGUAGGAUUGUAUUUUAAAGUACAGAAAGUACCAGGUAUUUACAUGAACAUAUGGUAAUUAGACAAUUAUAACCUAUUAAUAAUUGAUUCAUUUGAAGGUAGUUACCAGAAAAAAAAUCUUCACAUUUUAACAUUUAAUCAGGCAAGUCAGUUAAGAACAAAUUCUUAUUUAAAAUGACGGCCUACCGGGGAACAGUGGGUUAACUGCCUUGUUCAGGGGCAGGAUGACAGAUUGCUCUGGGAUUCGAUCCAGCAACCUUUCAGUUACUGGCCCAAUGCGCUAACCACUAGAAUAAUUAGCCCAUUGCUAGAGGUGAUGACACAGCAGUCCAAUUACUGUAUGUCCAUGAUUUGGAGGGCACUUCCACCACCCAAAGCCUUUAUAUUGAGCAUUUUCACAAGAACUGUGUGAUGUUUCCUGUGAUUCUACUGAAAUAGAUUGAAAUCAAUAUGUUUGAGUAUUCCAGCAUUUUGGAUCAGUCCCCCACUCUUCACUGCUCCCUGAGGGCUGGAACUCUGUAGACAAACAUUAACUUUGGGAUAGACACUGUUUAUUUAUGUUCUACUCUUUCCAUUUUUACUGCAUCUACCAUUUGAUCAACAUUAAAUCAUCUCUGACUCUGCUGUGUCUGGUGGUAUGGGUGAAUGUGGAUGCUUCAUCAGCUCAGACUGAGCCCAAGGAUUUCUGUGGACCACCUCCACAACUCAUGAACGGAGACACAAACGGCGGUAACAGAGAACGCUACAGAAAUGGAGAAUCAGUUCAAUAUGUCUGCCAGAAAUACUACAUCCCUGAUCCCCCUUCAGCAUUCAAGACAUGUCAUGAUGGGAUCUGGAUAGGAUCGAUGACCUGCCUGAAACCCUGCACUGUGGACGAAGAGCUGAUGAACACACAGAACAUCCAAUUUAAAUAUCCUCCGGAAUAUCAAACUAAAGUCUAUGCCACACAUGGGGAUUAUAUCACUUUUAAGUGUACUGGUCAUAGUAGACUGAGCCCAGGUAGCGUUGAUUUUCGUCAGCAGUGUAUACACGGGGUCAUGAACUUGCCUCAUUGCCAAACCCCUGUCAAUAGUUUGCUCAAAUUAUUUUCAGAUUCAGUGUCUGAAUAAAUGUAUGGUUUUUCAUGAUUGUCCAACAUGAAAUAAAGUGCUGCUGGUUCAUAUUUA